rnacentral:rRNA from 1 species
CGAACGCUGGCGGCGUGCUUAACACAUGCAAGUCGUACGGUAAGGCCCUUUCGGGGGUACACGAGUGGCGAACGGGUGAGUAACACGUGAGUAACCUGCCCACAACUUUGGGAUAACGCUAGGAAACUGGUGCUAAUACUGGAUAUGUGCUCCUGCUGCAUGGUGGGGGUUGGAAAGCUCCGGCGGUUGUGGAUGGACUCGCGGCCUAUCAGCUUGUUGGUGGGGUAGUGGCCUACCAAGGCGGCGACGGGUAGCCGGCCUGAGAGGGUGACCGGCCACAUUGGGACUGAGAUACGGCCCAGACUCCUACGGGAGGCAGCAGUGGGGAAUAUUGCACAAUGGGCGCAAGCCUGAUGCAGCAACGCCGCGUGCGGGAUGACGGCCUUCGGGUUGUAAACCGCUUUCAGCAGGGACGAAGCUUUUUGUGACGGUACCUGCAGAAGAAGCACCGGCUAACUACGU